GACGAACGCUGGCGGCGUGCUUAACACAUGCAAGUCGAGCGAUGAAGUUUUUUCGGAAAUGGAUUAGCGGCGAACGGGUGAGGAACACGUGAAGAAUCUGCCCUCCACUUUGGGAUAACACAGGGAAACCUGUGCUAAUACCGAAUAUUGAAACAUAAGUGGCAUCACUGAGUUUUGAAAGAAUUUCGGUGGAGGAUGACUUCGCGGCCUAUCAGCUAGUUGGUGAGAUAAUGGCUCACCAAGGUAACGACGGGUAGCCGGCCUGAGAGGGCGACCGGCCACACUGGGACUGAGACACGGCCCAGACUCCUACGGGAGGCAGCAGUGGGGAAUAUUGGGCAAUGGAGGAAACUCUGACCCAGCGACGCCGCGUGAGAGAUGACGGCCUUCGGGUUGUAAACCUCUUUCAGCAUCGACGAAGCGAAAGUGACGGUAGGUGCAGAAGAAGGACCGGCCAGCUACGUGCCAGCAGCCGCAGUAA
rnacentral:rRNA from 1 species